rnacentral:rRNA from 1 species
CCCUUAGAUGUUCUGGGCCGCACGCGUGCUACACUGAGUGGAUCAGCGGGUCAGGUUGCGCGAAAGUGUUUCCUAAUCUUUAAAUCCGCUCGUGAUGGGGAUUGACGGUUGCAAUUUUCCGUCAUGAACGAGGAAUACCUUGUAAGCGCGGGUCAUCAUCCCGCGCUGAAUACGUCCCUGCCCUUUGUACACACCGCCCGUCGCUCCUACCGAUUGAGUGGUCCGGUGAGACUUUGGGAUCUGAGCGGAAAGAGCGUUUCGCUGUUUCUGCCCGGAAAACUCAGUCGAACCUUAUCAUUUAGAGGAAGGAGAAGUCGUAACA